rnacentral:rRNA from 1 species
CCUGCGGAAGGAUCAUUAUUAUAAUGCGUGGAAAUGCCCCUAAUAAGGGCAUACUCUAUAAAACUCUAAACUUACUGUCUGAGAAGGCCAUGUGCCGUAAUCUUUAAACAUUUUAAAACUUUCAACAACGGAUCUCUUGGUUCUCGCAUCGAUGAAGAACGCAGCGAAAUGCGAUAAGUAAUGUGAAUUGCAGAAUUCAGUGAAUCAUCGAAUCUUUGAACGCACAUUGCGCCCUUUGGUAUUCCAUAGGGCAUGNCUGUUCGAGCGUCACUAACAACCCCAUCACAUAAUAGUGUGGUAUUGGCAGAAGUGGGUAGGGCUAGCAGUGCUGGCCCCACUCUGCUGGAAUGAAUAGGCCGGAAAUGCAGACCAUGGCAACAAACUUUCAGAGUAUUUUGAAAUGCUAAAUUAGUUUGGAGCUGGUCAGAAUCCAGGCCAUUGGACCCCCAUUCUGUGUAAAGCAGUAAUGUUGACCUCGGAUCAGGUAGGGAUACCCGCUGAACUUAAGCAUAUCAAUAAGCGGAGGAA